rnacentral:rRNA from 1 species
UACGGAGGGUGCAAGCGUUAUCCGGAUUUACUGGGUUUAAAGGGUGCGCAGGCGGAUAUGUAAGUCAGUGGUGAAAUCUCUAGGCUUAACCUGGAAAUUGCCGUUGAUACUAAUAUAUCUUGAAUGUUGUGGAGGUAAGCGGAAUAUGUCAUGUAGCGGUGAAAUGCUUAGAUAUGACAUAGAACACCAAAUUUGCGAAGGCAGCUUACUACAGCGAUAUUGACACUGAGGCACGAAAGCGUGGGGGAUCAAACAGG